rnacentral:rRNA from 1 species
AGAAUCAACGCUGGCGGCGUGCCUAACACAUGCAAGUCGAACGAGAAAGUGGAGCAAUCCAUGAGUAAAGUGGCGACCGGGUGAGUAACACGUGACCAAUCUACCCUUGAGUGGGGGAUAACCUCGGGAAACCGGGGCUAAUACCGCAUAAUAUCCUUGGAACGGAAGUACUGGGGAUCAAAGGAGCAAUUCGCUUAAGGAGGAGGUCGCGGCUGAUUAGCUAGUUGGCGGGGUAAUGGCCCACCAAGGCUUAGAUCGGUAGCCGGCCUGAGAGGGCGCACGGCCACACUGGAACUGAAACACGGUCCAGACUCCUACGGGAGGCAGCAGUGGGGAAUUUUGCGCAAUGGGGGAAACCCUGACGCAGCAACGCCGCGUGGAGGAUGAAGUCCCUUGGGACGUAAACUCCUUUCGACCCGGACGAUAAUGACGGUACGGGUGGAAGAAGCCCCGGCUAACUUCGCGCCAGCAGCCGC